UAAGUACGUGGCGAGCGCAUCGCUAGAAACCAAAAGGAACAUUGUAUUUAAGCAACCUCAUCAGAUCACGCGAUUGAAUUGGGUUGGGAGUAUGUAACUGAAACAAUUAAUCUACACGCCCAAAGGAAAAGAACAUGAAAUCCGAUGAACAGGGAGACAGCAGACCGAAAUGCGGGCGGGUUGGUGGGCCACAGGUUCAUGUUCCUGUCUGGACUAGCUGCGUGAUGAGGAUCAGGCCCUCGGCCCAGUCCAAUUUGUCACCUCGCCCCCUGCUGUAGUGGUGGCCAUAUCCUUCAAUGCCAGCACUUUCUUCCGGCACUGCCACUCUGUUCUUGACGUCCAGUGGCAGGCUGAAGAACUGCACGGUGGUGUCCUUUAUAAGCUGCGCCACUGCUUCGUCGACUCCAUGGUUGGUUAGCUG